GAUGAACGCUAGCGAUAGGCUUAACACAUGCAAGUCGAGGGGCAGCAUGGUCUUAGCUUGCUAAGGCUGAUGGCGACCGGCGCACGGGUGCGUAACGCGUAUGCAACUUGCCUCACAGAGGGGGAUAACCCGUCGAAAGACGGACUAAUACCGCGUACACUCUAUGUUGGGCAUCCAAUGUAGAGGAAAUGAAAUUCGCUGUGAGAUAGGCAUGCGUCCCAUUAGCUAGUUGGUGAGGUAACGGCUCACCAAGGCGACGAUGGGUAGGGGAACUGAGAGGUUGAACCCCCACACUGGUACUGAGACACGGACCAGACUCCUACGGGAGGCAGCAGUGAGGAAUAUUGGUCAAUGGGCGAGAGCCUGAACCAGCCAAGUCGCGUGAAGGAUGACUGUCUUAUGGAUUGUAAACUUCUUUUAUACGGGAAUAACAAGAGUCACGUGUGGCUCCCUGCAUGUACCGGAUGAAUAAGCAUCGGCUAACUCCGUG
rnacentral:rRNA from 1 species